AGGCGUGGUGGCUUGCCUGUGGCCCCAGCUACUCGGGAGGCUGAGGUAGGAGGAUCACUUGAGCCCAGGAGUUCUGGGCUGCAGUGCGCUAUGCUGAUCGGGUGUCCGCACUAAGUUCGGCAUCAAUAUGGUGACCUCCCAGGAGCGGGGGACCACCAGGUUGCCUAAGGAGGGGUGAACCGGCCCAGGUCAGAAAGAGAGCAGGUCAAAACUCCCGUGCUGAUCAGUAGUGGGAUUGCGCCUGUGAAUAGCCACUGUACUCCAGCCUGGGCAACAAAGCGAGACCCCCAUCUCUA
rnacentral:SRP_RNA from 1 species